rnacentral:rRNA from 1 species
CCCUUAGAUGUUCUGGGCCGCACGCGCGCUACACUGAUGCAUUCAACGAGUCUAAAACCUGCUCUGAUAGGGGUGGGUAAUCUUUUGAAUGUGCAUCGUGAUUGGGAUAGAUGAUUGCAAUUUUUCAUCUUCAACGAGGAAUGCCUAGUAAACGCAAGUCAUCAGCUUGCAUUGAUUACGUCCCUGCCCUUUGUACACACCGCCCGUCGCUCCUACCGAUUGAAUGAUCCGAUGAAUAUCAUGGAUUGAUGAUGCAAGCAGGUUCGCCUGUCUUCAUCUUCGAGAAGUGAAGUAAAUCUUAUCAUUUAGAGGAAGGAGAAGUCGUAACA